rnacentral:tRNA from 1 species
GCAGUCGUGGCCGAGUGGUUAAGGCGAUGGACUCGAAAUCCAUUGGGGUUUCCCCGCACAGGUUCGAAUCCUGUCGGCCUGCG